rnacentral:rRNA from 1 species
UCCGUAGGUGAACCUGCGGAGGGAUCAUUACCGAGUUUACGCUCUAUAACCCUUUGUGAACAUACCUAUAACUGUUGCUUCGGCGGGUAGGGUCUCCGCGACCCUCCCGGCCUCCCGCCUCCGGGCUGGUCGGCGCCCGCCGGAGGAUAACCAAACUCUGAUUUAACGACGUUUCUUCUGAGUGGUACAAGCAAAUAAUCAAAACUUUUAACAACGGAUCUCUUGGUUCUGGCAUCGAUGAAGAACGCAGCGAAAUGCGAUAAGUAAUGUGAAUUGCAGAAUUCAGUGAAUCAUCGAAUCUUUGAACGCACAUUGCGCCCGCCAGCAUUCUGGCGGGCAUGCCUGUUCGAGCGUCAUUUCAACCCUCAAGCUCUGCUUGGUGUUGGGGCCCUACAGCUGAUGUAGGCCCUCAAAGGUAGUGGCGGACCCUCCCGGAGCCUCCUUUGCGUAGUAACUUUACGUCUCGCACUGGGAUCCGGAGGGACUCUUGCCGUAAAACCCCCCAAUUUUCCAAAGGUUGACCUCGGAUCAGGUAGGAAUACCCGCUGAACUUAAGCAUAUCAAUAAGCGGAGGAAAUCUCUAG